rnacentral:rRNA from 1 species
CCUACGGGUGGCAGCAGUCGAGAAUCAUUCACAAUGGGGGAAACCCUGAUGGUGCGACGCCGCGUGGGGGAAUGAAGGUCUUCGGAUUGUAAACCCCUGUCAUGUGGGAGCAAAUUAAAAAGAUAGUACCACAAGAGGAAGAGACGGCUAACUCGGUGCCAGCAGCCGCGGUAAUACAGAGGUCUCAAGCGUUGUUCGGAAUCACUGGGCGUAAAGCGUGCGUAGGCUGUGUCGUAAGUCGUGUGUGAAAGGUGCGGGCUCAACCCGCGGACGGCACAUGAUACUGCGAGACUAGAGUAAUGGAGGGGGAACCGGAAUUCGCGGUGUAGCAGUGAAAUGCGUAGAUAUCGAGAGGAACACUCGUGGCGAAGGCGGGUUCCUGGACAUUAACUGACGCUGAGGCACGAAGGCCAGGGGAGCGAAAGGGAUUAGAUACCCUAGUAGUC